AUCGGUGUCGGGCAGCGACGGGAAAGCGGUGCGGCUGAAUGGCGCCGGGCCCAGGCCGAAGCGCGGCGGCCCGUGGUGCGGCGCGAAGAGGCCCAGCCAGUCCGCCGAGCGGUCGGCCGCAUCCAGCACUCCGCCGGAGAAGACGUGCGCGCCCGGCAUGAAGCCUUGGUGCGGGGAGCGCUGCAGCAGCAGCAGCCGGAAGCCCUCGGCCGGCGGCGGGCGCGACGGCGGGGUGGCGGUCUCCGGGCGCGACCAGCCAGCCGCCAGGACGAUGCUGGCCGCCCGCCGCCAGCGGCUGGGGCCCGGCCGCAGGGAGCUGCUCAUGGCGCGCAGCUUCCCGGAUCCGAUUCUGGCGCGGCCUGAGCUCCACGGCAGGUGGCCCGGCCCUGCAGGGACCCCAGCACCUCCGGGGGCCUCGCGGGAAUUGAGGACGAGCCUCUGGCGUUGGGUGAACCUGGGCGUUUGGUCGGCAACGGCGCCUGCCUGUGGGAGGGGCACCCGAGCAGGGACCGCCUCGAGUGCACUGGGGCCCAGCUAGGGCACUCUCGCGGGACAAUGGGUGUCACGGCAGCCAGCGACCGUUUGUCAUUCACAGCUGCCUGAAAGGAGGACCGCAGUAUUCCCACGCAGGAAGCUUGGACCAAAAGCAGGAAUGCUUAAGGGCGCAUAUGACUUGCCAUGGUAAAAAACAGGAUGCCAACCCAGGCCUGAUGACAUCCACCUCACUAAAAGCUAAGGACUAGGACUUUCUGCUUUAAACAAGGACCCACAUGUGGGUGUUUUCUGUGGGAGAGGGAGAGAGGACAUUCGAAGGGCAGAAGUCUGACCUUUGCAAGCACACGUGAACCACACCAAUGAGAAAUGAAUGGACGAGCCAGAUGCCAAUUUAUAAAUUUCCUACUGCACACCUUGAAUGUGA
rnacentral:lncRNA from 1 species